rnacentral:lncRNA from 1 species
GUCGGAGAUGGGAGCGCCUAGGGACCCGAACCGAGUGCACCUGCUGCAGCCUGGCACUAGGGAUUUGAAAAUCCAUGGAGAUGGAAACCUAUGCCGAGGGAAGCCCCAGCUGUGUGCGCUACUGCAGGGUCACAGUGCCGCGGUGCCGAGCUUCUUUCGUGGUCCCUGUCGCCGUCCGUUUCUUGAGAUUUCAGACUCUGGGCUUGGAAACCAGUUGACUGCCUUUCUUAGCGAGGUGCCCUCGGAAACCUGUGGAGGAAUGUUUGGAUUAUGAAUGCUCACCGUGCCGAGGUUUUGAGACUACUGUAAGACAGAUGAGAAAACCUGAGGUUUGUAUUGCUUUCCCUCCUCCUUGCUUUGACCAAACUCUGCUGAACAAGGAUUCUCUACCAAA